UUGACGGGACGAAACGCGUUGACGUCAUCACCCGUUUUUUCAAACUGCUGAUUGUCAUCUCUGGCUGCAUCUGCCGUGUCUGCCGUUCUCAGCUGUGCCGAUCUUGCUGCUCACCACUUGCCGCAUCCCAUGUGUCUGACCGCCGCUCACAGCCGCUGAUUGCAGCUCCAGCCGCAUCUGCCGUGUCCGCUGCUCUCAGCUGUGCCGGUCCUGCUGAUCACAUCUUGCCGCAUCCAAUGUGUCUGGCUACCGCUCACAGUGUACGUAUCCACUGAGGACAUCUACACCCACGGCUCACUCUAACUGGAGCCUCCUAAACGCUGCUGAGUGUAGUGCCGACAACCUGUGAAAGUCUCCACUUCUACUACCGCUGACUGUGUGCUUCUAAACGCUGCCCAUGAGCCGGGAACUCCAAAAGGUUUAUUCUGUCUCUGAACCUGAAGUCCUUUUGGCAGGGACUUUUACCUGGAAUACUAUUCUGUGAUAUCUCUCCGUUGGAGUGUGGAUGUAAUACAAUCACAAUUUCAUUUACACUAUACAAUUGGACGACAAUCACAUGGAAACAAAUGAUUUAUUCAACUGGAACCAGGAACACCGUGGUCACUACUGCAAUGGUCUAGAUCAGGUUUAUUCUGUCUCUGAACCUGAAGUCCUUUUGGCAGGGACUUUUACCUGGAAUACUAUUCUGUGAUAACUCUCCGUUGGAGUGUGGAUGUAAUACAAUCACAAUUUCAUUUACACUAUACAAUUGGACGACAAUCACAUGGAAACAAAUGAUUUAUUGAACUUGAACCAGGAACACCGUGGUCACUACUGCAAUGGUCUAGAUCAGGCUACGGCAGCUGGCAGUCACUCACCCGCUUGACACUCCCGCUGGGCGGAUCGCCUCUCUAUCACCUCCUCCGUCAACCUGUCACUCACGGCUGGGCAGGCCUUCCGUCCUCACUGCGGCACCACUGUCCCGACUCACUCUGAUUCAGCUCUCUCCCCUCUAAUCAGCGCUGCUGGAACCCGGUUACCUCAGCUCGGUAAGUCUCGGCCGGGAACCCCGCUCGCAGCGUCUUUUUAUCCUGGCGCUCAGGUCACCGUUCCUCUCCUUCCCCUCACGGCUGCUUCGUCACGAUUCUCCUUUCCAGCUCUGUCAGCGCGAGCCCAACCGUUGCUCUCCUCUUUUUAUAACCCCCUCUCUCUACCCCGUAUGUGUCCCGCCAGCAGCGCGGGGACACAGCCGUCCACAGCAACUCGUUCCGCUGGGUCCAAAGGACCUUCCCUUACUUUUUCUAACAUGCUGCUCUCUAUGGUCUGGUACUCCACAGCUGCCCAACACUGUACCAGGAUCUUUGAACUUAUUAAGGACAUAGGUCCCAAGUCCCGGGUAUCACACUAGCAGGAGUGACACAUGGGAAAGCUGGAUGAAGUGACAUAGGA